GUGGCUGUGGCUCAGCGGUAGACUCUCGCCUAGCAUGUGUGAGGCCCUGGGUUCAAUCCUCAGCACCACA
rnacentral:tRNA from 1 species